CCUACGGUGGCAGCAGUGGGGAAUAUUGGACAAUGGGCGAAAGCCUGAUCCAGCCAUGCCGCGUGUGUGAAGAAGGCCUUCGGGUUGUAAAGCACUUUCAGUGGGGAAGAAAGCCUUGGGGCUAAUACCCUCGAGGAAGGACAUCACCCACAGAAGAAGCACCGGCUAACUCCGUGCCAGCAGCCGCGGUAAUACGGCGGGUGCGAGCGUUAAUCGGAAUUACUGGGCGUAAAGCGCGCGUAGGCGGUCUGAUAAGCCGGUUUGUGAAAGCCCCGGGCUCAACCUGGGAACGGCAUCCGGAACUGUCAGGCUAGAGUGCAGGAGAGGAAGGUAGAAUUCCCGGUGUAGCGGUGAAAUGCGUAGAGAUCGGGAGGAAUACCAGUGGCGAAGGCGGCCUUCUGGACUGACACUGACGCUGAGGUGCGAAAGCGUGGGUAGCAAACAGGAUUAGAUACCCGAGUAGUC
rnacentral:rRNA from 1 species